rnacentral:tRNA from 1 species
GGGGCCAUAGCUCAGCUGGGAGAGCAUCUGCUUUGCAAGCAGGAGGUCGGCGGUUCGAUCCCGCCUGGUUCCACCA